rnacentral:rRNA from 1 species
UACGUAGGGGGCAAGCGUUAUCCGGAUUUACUGGGUGUAAAGGGAGCGCAGACGGAACUGCAAGUCUGAUGUGAAAGCCCGGGGCUCAACCGCGGGACUGCAUUGGAAACUGUAGAUCUGGAGUGCCGGAGGGGCAAGCGGAAUUCCUGGUGUAGCGGUGAGAUGCGUAGAUAUCAGGAGGAACACCGGCGGCGAAGGCGGCUUGCUGGACGGCAACUGACGUUGAGGCUCGAAAGCGUGGGGAGCAAACAGGAUUAGAUACCCCU